UGGGGAAUAUUGGACAAUGGGCGAAAGCCUGAUCCAGCCAUGCCGCGUGUGUGAAGAAGGUCUUCGGAUUGUAAAGCACUUUAAGUUGGGAGGAAGGGCAGUAAGCGAAUACCUUGCUGUUUUGACGUUACCGACAGAAUAAGCACCGGCUAACUCUGUGCCAGCAGCCGCGGUAAUACAGAGGGUGCAAGCGAUAAUCGGAAUUACUGGGCGUAAAGCGCGCGUAGGUGGUUCGUUAAGUUGAAUGUGAAAGCCCCGGGCUCAACCUGGGAACUGCAUCCAAAACUGGCGAGCUAGAGUAGGGCAGAGGGUGGUGGAAUUUCCUGUGUAGCGGAGAAAUGCGUAGAUAUAGGAAGGAACACCAGUGGCGAAGGCGACCACCUGGGCUCAUACUGACACUGAGGUGCGAAAGCGUGGGGAGCAAACAGG
rnacentral:rRNA from 1 species